GGUACCUACCACUUUUGUUCCAUCUCUGAAGACAGUAAAGAGAAAAGCUGAGGUCAGAGUCCUCACAAGGUGAUAACUGUGUAGGUGGAAAGAGUAGAAAGGAAUUGGACAUGCUCUUUUGAGAGAUCCUGAAGACGGAGAACAGAGCUGGACUCGACAGAACUGAACUGCAUAGCCACACAACCAGUCUCACAGCUUCCUACAUUUUCUUAAUCAACAGAGGCAUCAGUCAUCUGAGUGAUGAAGGCACAUCAGAGUCUUUUGGAUUGGGGCCUCACUUCUGGUAUCUUCUUGAAGUUAAUUCUGUCUGACAGUAGGUAAAGUAAAAAAGCUCCAUGUCUCCACCAAUGAAUGCUAUCAUGGAUAACAAAUCAAAUCUCCUACGUGGAUACUUUCCGCCAAACGUCACCAGUAACGCAGUUUUCAUCCUGAACACAGAAAAACGUUUGACAGGAAAAGUGACAAUAUACUCAAUACUGGAAUUUGAUCUCAACCUCAACAUUGCUUAUCUAAAUAGUUCCAAAAUUUACAGAUAUUAAUAAGGUAAGUACUUUUUCCUCAGCAUGACUUGGAGGGGGUAAUGUUACUACUGAAACACUCAGCAGCAGUGAGGAACACUCUGUUAAGUCCCCAAGUGUCUAAUCAGUAAGUCACUAGUAGUCAUCAAACAAACCACAGCACAAGGCUAGUGCAGGAAAACAUGUUAUUGUGUAUGCAUUGUUCACAGUAGGCCUGCAUGGGUCUGUAGAGAUCUUUAUCUGUACAAUCUCUAAGUACACAAAAUCACACCAUCAAUCAACUUUAAUUGCAGUGUGUCCAAGAUAAAAAUCUUAUGAACACAUCGUCUACAGUGCGUCAUAAGUAGAAGUAUGAGUCAGCACAUAUUUGUA
rnacentral:lncRNA from 1 species